CCCGCGCUGCCCCACGCCGCGCCGCGCCGGCGCCGGGCGGCAGGAUGGGCUGUAUCCAAAGCAUCACCUGCAAGGCGCGGAUCCGGCGCGAGAACAUCGUGGUGUACGAUGUGUGCGCCACCAUCGACCAGUGCCCCACGCGCAUCGAGGAGACCUCGCCCAUCGUCCUGCGCUACAAGACCCCGUACUUCAAAGCCUCAGCUCGCGUGGUCAUGCCCCCCAUCCCCCGCCACGAGACCUGGGUGGUGGGCUGGAUCCAGGCGUGCAACCAGAUGGAGUUCUUCAACACCUACAGCGACCUGGGCAUGUCAAGCUGGGAGCUGCCUGACUUGAGGGAAGGGAGAGUAAAAGCCAUCAGUGACUCAGAUGGGGUGAGCUACCCUUGGUACGGGAACACUACAGAAACUGUGACCCUGGUUGGCCCCACCAACAAGAUCUCCAGGUUCUCCGUCAGCAUGAAUGACAACUUCUACCCCAGUGUGACAUGGGCAGUGCCCGUGAGUGACAGCAAUGUGCCACUGCUCACAAGAAUCAAGAGGGACCAAAGUUUCACUACCUGGCUGGUAGCGAUGAAUACCACCACAAAGGAGAAGAUCAUUCUGCAGACCAUCAAGUGGAGGAUGAGGGUGGACAUUGAGGUGGACCCUCUUCAACUGUUGGGGCAGAGGGCCCGGCUGGUGGGCAGGACUCAGCAGGAGCAGCCCCGGAUUCUGAGCCGAAUGGAACCCAUCCCCCCUAACGCACUAGUGAAACCCAAUGCCAACGAUGCCCAGGUUCUCAUGUGGAGGCCCAAGCGGGGGCCACCUCUGGUUGUGAUACCUCCAAAGUAGAAGCAGACUGGCCAACUGUGUGUGGAACACAUGCCACUGAGACAUGCAGUGGGGUUGCCAGGGAUGGCAGGAGCCAAACUGAGUUUCUGAGCCAAAGCAGACCUCUCGGUUUGCCAGCCUUUGCAGCUGCUUGUGAAGAGUGAAGCUGCUCCUUGGGUGGCAGAACCAUAAUUCUUAGGAAAAGCCCCUUUCUUUUAGGAAUAAAAAAAAAUCACUGAUUUGACAGACUUGCUGUGAUUACCAUGCAAGUAGCCAUAUUUUGGAGCUGACCAGGAUGAUUCUUUUAUUUGAACUCUUGACCAUUUCUUUCCUGUGAGAUGCAGGGGAUGGAAAUGAAACUAAACAGUGCCUGUGGCAGAUGCUGCUUCCCAACCAACUAGAAGUGCAAGUGGAAACAUCCACACCAGGUCUCCUGAUAAGAUGAGACAAGCCCAGCGAGCAGAACCACAUGGCAAGAGACUAAGGAGGAGGAAAUGAGCAAUGGCUGGUGGCUCCAGAAGCUGACACCUGGACAGCUGAUUUCCUAUUAAAAAGAGUGCCAUCCUGCCUGUCUCCUCGCCACCCUCUCAUCCUGUGACCAGCACUUCCUACCCUCACCCACAUGUGUCCAACCAGGCUGGCUGGUUGGCUCAUGGGGAGCUAUGUUGAAGUGGGAGUUGUGCCUGCUAUUAUGUAUGGAAAGAAUGGGUUCACCCAGACCUCUAGCUCAUCCCAGCCCUCCACAUAAGCCUCCCAAGGACAAAGCUGGUCAGCCAGGACUGCAGACACCUCAUAUGGCCCAGCCCUGGUUCCCAAGUCUGCCUUCCUACCCUGCACUCUUGGGUAGGAAACAGACUCUGUAUCUCCCCUCCUCCCCGCUCCACAUGGCUGGCCAGUAUCAAUCAUCUCCUGAGGUUUCUCUAAGUUCUUCGGAGGGCAAUUAUUUCCCUACCUUGGACAGGCUUGGUACCUUCAGGUGACCAAAGGCAGAGUUUAUGUCACCAGAAUCAAUGGCGUGAGGGCAGAAGUGCCCCAACAGGGCAAAAAUGGUGCAUGUUAUUUAUUGAUUGGUUUAUUAUUGGCAUAUUCAUUGAUUAUUUAUUUAUUUAUUUAUUUAUUUAUUUAUUUAUGGAAUCUGCAUUAUGCAGCAGAAAAUCCACUUCCAUCUUUGAAACAUCAGCCCCAAAUUUGUCUUGUUGGCUCCCACAGAGCACAGUAAAUGAUCCCCCUUAGAAGUCACAAAAAAAGAGGGAAAUUUUUCUCCCUGUACCCAAAUACCCCCACCCCUGCCAGAUUUUUAACCAGAAAUGGAAUAAGAAACUAUCAGCUAGUAAGCUACAUGCCACACAAAUCAGCACAGGCUCAACUGUCCAGGAAGAAGCUCUUAAAAUCUUCCGGCCCACUGCCCUUGCAUUGUCUUACCCUUCCGCUCCUUCACCAACUCAUGCAAGACUGACCAGCUGACUCCAGCCUGACUCUUAGAACUGGGCUUCUCAUUCUGCUCCCGUGCAGGAUACUUGAUACCAGAUGCACAUCAGAAUCAUGUGGGGAGCCUAAAAUCCUAUACCUGGUUUCCUCUCAAACACAUCUGCCUCUAAGGGGCUGAGCAGCAAAAGUCUUUUUAGUUACCCAGAUGAUUCUGAUGUGCAAAUGCAGUUGAUGGAAAUGUCUGCUGUCUUCUUCGCCCCCAUUCAUCUCCAAGAUCCCAUUCUCCUUUAGUCCCCAAGUUUCCUCUGGAGUCCCUUCCCAUUCUUCCAGCCCUUCUUCCCCACUGAACUUCCCCAUCUGCCAACCUGAACGGAUUCCAAAGAGAUGACAGGACCUGGGAGUCAUACCUGAGACUGGUGCCUGCACAUGCCUUUGGAAAAACAGAAGCUUCCCCCUGCCCAGAUUCACCCGCUCUCUGAACUUCUCCUACCAUACUCACACCUCCCUCCAAGUGUUUAAAAGUCAUAUUGACAUCCCUGUCUCCACAUCCCAGUCUUAAGGCAAAGCCCAUUCCAGUGUUUAAAACCCAAAGGUUGGCUGUCUUUGCAGAGCCACCUGAAUUACCUGAGGGUCCAUUGAUAACAGGAUGGAGUCACCUUGUCCCCAAGCCAGUCCCUUGCCCAACAACCUGACAGCAGCCACUAAGCAUCCAGAUCCUAGAUAACUUAAGAGACUCCCCUCAUGUUGACAAGGUCUCCACUGCUGGAUAUAAGAGAAGAGAAGUGUGUGUGUGUGUGUGUGUGUGUGUGUGUGUGUGUGUGUGUGUGUUUAUACUGUCUUCAUAUAAACCACCUGGAUCUAUGGAGAUGCUGGGCUUCAACUUCACAGUAUUAACAUUUUACCUGAAAGAAUCAAGAACUUUGUUGUUUCACUCAGAGGAGUACUCUCUGUUCCUUAAGGGCCCAAGUGAAUACCAUAGUAGUUAUCUACAUAAAAUGUUGUAAUGUAUGAAAACUGUUGGACACUUUAUACACACACAGAGAGAGAGGCUGGGGUGGGCAGGGAAGGGAGGCCUGUGGCAUGUGAAGAGUUCAUUUUCCUAUUGCAUCUCCCCCAUCUAAGCAAUUUCCCUGGGCAAGCAGAUUUUUCCUGCAUUCAUAGCACUGUAUCUUCUUUCCCCAUUAGUCAGACUUUCCCUGUACCAAGUCUCAUCUCUCAGGGUCCUGUUUUCUGAUAGGUGGAUGCUAAAGACUUGAGCAUCACAUUUAUCUGACAUUUAUCUUUUCAUUGGGGCUACAGAUAAUGCCUUAAUCCAAAGGAAUGGCUCCAAUGGUGGGAAUUUCAGGCACAGAUAUGGGCCAGUAAGAGAGAUUAUUUUUUUCUCAGGAGGGCAUUUUAGAGCCCCCAUUCAUCAUCCCUACCUUUAAGAGCAAUCCUUCCUAAGAACAUGAGCACAGGCAAGCACACUUACAUAUAUAUGUCCAGAACUUUGAGAUACCCCCCCACCCCUUACAUUGGCCUUAUCUUUAAAAAUGGAAAACUUUUUAGGAACCAGCUAAGUGAAUUUAAACCUCAUUGGGAAAUGCAGCCUACUUUUUCACCGGCCACCAGCCAUCUGGUCCACCCCACCCCGUUCCAUUCCCCAGCUCUUCUGCUAUUGCCACAUCAGUUAAUUUAUGUGCACGUGUCCUUCUUUGCUCUCUCCUUACCCACCCACCCCCAGUGUAUUUUCCUCCCUUGGAAUUGUGCUGUUUUUUGGUGUCGUUGAGGACAGAGGUACAGGUUACAAGCAUGAGCAUGUGUGUGUCACUGAAGACAGAGAAGCCAGGUAUUCUGCCACAGU